GAUGAACGCUGGCGGCGUGCUUAACACAUGCAAGUCGAACGAAGCACUUGAAUGGAAUUCUUCGGGAGGAAGCUCAAGUGACUGAGUGGCGGACGGGUGAGUAACGCGUGGGUAACCUGCCUCAUACAGGGGGAUAACAGUUAGAAAUGACUGCUAAUACCGCAUAAGCACACGUGAUCGCAUGAUCGAGUGUGAAAAACUCCGGUGGUAUGAGAUGGACCCGCGUCUGAUUAGCUAGUUGGUGGGGUAAUGGUCCACCAAGGCGACGAUCAGUAGCCGGCCUGAGAGGGUGAACGGCCACAUUGGGACUGAGACACGGCCCAAACUCCUACGGGAGGCAGCAGUGGGGAAUAUUGCACAAUGGGGGAAACCCUGAUGCAGCGACGCCGCGUGAAGGAUGAAGUAUUUCGGUAUGUAAACUUCUAUCAGCAGGGAAGAAAAUGACG
rnacentral:rRNA from 1 species